GAGAGGCGAUGAGGAAACGGGGAGAGGAUGAGGCCUGGGACACGGAGAAAGAAACAGAGAAAGAGGCAAAAUGGUAAACACUGCAUCAAUUGGGCAUAAGAAAUCAAAAAGUUUCAAAACACGAUUUUGCAUACGACGUCUCUCAAAUUCCUUUCUCUUAGUUUCCGCUAAAUCUAAGAUCAGAAUUCAGAGAAAUUUUUCAUUCUACUUUUUUUCCGAAAUAAUGAGGAAGGAAGAUGAAGCGGCCUUCAGCAUAAGCACGAAAAAGGCCUUUCCCAGGAACUCUCGAUAUCAGACCAUUCUUUCUCGCCUUCAACUACAACUGAAGCCAGCCUCCUUUGUAGAGGAAGUCCAAACCCAAGGGAGGAUUUGAUAUGAUCAGUAGUGGGAGAGACAAGAUUGAAACUCCAGAGCAUUUAAGCAAGUUGAAGAAACAGCAUUGAAGCUUGAUUUGGACGGGCAUUAAUAUGUUGUUACUUAUGCAGUGAGCCACAUCAAGUGCAGUUUCUACUCAUUAUAA